GCACUCGUGGCCAAGUGGUUAAGGCGACGGACUAGAAAUCCAUUGGGGUCUCCCCGCACAGGUUCGAAUCCUGUCGACCGCG
rnacentral:tRNA from 2 species